rnacentral:rRNA from 1 species
UCCGGUUGAUCCUGCCGGAGGCGACCGCUUUUGGAGUUCGAUUAAGCCAUGCGAGUCGAGAGCCUUAGGGGCUCGGCAUACUGCUCAGUAACACGUGGAUAACCUGCCCUAUUGUCUGGAAUAACCUCGGGAAACUGAGAACAAGGCCGGAUAGCCCACAAUGCCUGGAACGGUUUGUGGGUGAAGAUAGGAUGGGUCUGCGGCGUAUCAGGUUGUAGGGGGUGUAAUGGACCUCCUAGCCAUCGACGCGUACGGGUGUUGGGAGACAUAGCCCGGAGAUGGAUUCUGAGACACGAAUCCAGACCCUACGGGGUGCAGCAGGCGCGAAAACUUCACACUGCAGGAAACUGUGAUGAGGGAACUCCAAGUGCUAUCACUAUGUGGUAGCUUUUCUUGACUAUUAAUCGGUCAUGGAAUAAGGGCUGGGAAAGACCGGUGCCAGCCGCCGCGGUAAUACCGGCAGCUCAAGUGGUCGUCGCUUUUAUUGGGCCUAAAACGUUCGUAGCCUGUUUGGUAAAUCUGUGGGUAAUCAAC